rnacentral:rRNA from 1 species
ACUCAAAUGAAUAGACGGGGACCCGCACAAGCAGUGGAGCAUGUGGUUUAAUUCGACGCUACGCGAAGAACCUUACCAAGGUUUGACAUCCUAAGAAUCCGCUAGAAAUAGUGGAGUGCCUUCGGGAACUUAGAGACAGGUGUUGCAUGGCCGUCGUCAGCUCGUGUCGUGAGAUGUUGGGUUAAGUCCCGCAACGAGCGCAACCCUUAUCGUAUGUUGUAUUUUUCAUAUGAGACUGCCCGGGCCAACCGGGAGGAAGGUGGGGAUGACGUCAGGUCAGCAUGGCCCUUACACCUUGGGCUACACACGUGCUACAAUGGCCGGUACAACGCGCUGCCAAAUCGCAAGAUGGAGCUAAUCGCAUCAAAACCGGUCCCAGUUCGGAUAGGAGGCUGCAACUCGCCUCCUUGAAGUUGGAAUUGCUAGUAAACGUGGGUCAGCAUACCACGUUGAAUACGUUCUCGGGUCUUGUACACACCGCCCGU